ACACAGCAGUAGGGAAUAUUGCUCAAUGGGGGAAACCCUGAAGCAGCAACGCCGCGUAGAGGAUGAAGGUUUUCGGAUUGUAAACUCCUUUUGUUAGAGAAGAUAAUGACGGUAUCUAACGAAUAAGCACCGGCUAACUCCGUGCCAGCAGCCGCGGUAAUACGGAGGGUGCAAGCGUUACUCGGAAUCACUGGGCGUAAAGAGCGCGUAGGCGGGAUAGCAAGUCAGAUGUGAAAUCCUAUGGCUUAACCAUAGAACUGCAUUUGAAACUGUUAUUCUAGAGUAUGGGAGAGGUAGGUGGAAUU
rnacentral:rRNA from 1 species